rnacentral:rRNA from 1 species
CCCUUAGAUGUUCUGGGCCGCACGCGCGCUACACUGAUGCAUUCAACGAGUUUUGUUUGUUCCUUGGCCGAGAGGCCUGGGCAAUCUUUUGAACUUGCAUCGUGAUAGGGAUAGAUUAUUGCAAUUAUUAAUCUUGAACGAGGAAUUCCUAGUAAACGCAGAUCAUCAAUCUGCAUUGAUUACGUCCCUGCCCUUUGUACACACCGCCCGUCGCACCUACCGAUUGAAUGGUCCGGUGAAGCCUCGGGAUUGUGGUUGGUUUCCUUUAUUGGAGAUUGAUUGCGAGAACUUGUCUAAACCUUAUCAUCUAGAGGAAGGUGAAGUCGUAACA